GAAGAAUUGUAUGACGAUAACAAAGCCUAGAGUAACCAGGAUCAAGCCAAGAUUAAGAAGUAACAUGAGGCAACAGACACCCUUAGUAUUUGGACAGAAUGGAUUGGGUGUUGACAUAGUUUCCACAAUUAUACCACCUUUUCGUGAUGCAGUGCCAGCAAUGCGUACAUCGUGCUGGGCAAAUCCUUAUUUAGUACAAUGAUGUCAUUUGGCAAGGACAUGUGCAACGUCUUCGAUCGACAAUGCACACGACAAUACCCUUCGCCUCCGAUCAUUCCUCCGUGAUUCUUUCAAGGUUCUAGCUCUUAAGAAGAGACCGGUUGCCGUACCCUGUGUUUCAUCCGCAUUUAGGAGAGAUUAUCUUCCUCGUAUCGAUCCUUAUCCGCGGAUAAUUCCUCUUCUCCUGGAUACGCGCUGACCGAAUCUGGAUCGUCG